rnacentral:rRNA from 1 species
AGUGAACGCUGGCGGUAGGCCUAACACAUGCAAGUCGAACGGCAGCACAGUAAGAGCUUGCUCUUACGGGUGGCGAGUGGCGGACGGGUGAGGAAUACAUCGGAAUCUACUUUUUCGUGGGGGAUAACGUAGGGAAACUUACGCUAAUACCGCAUACGACCUACGGGUGAAAGCAGGGGAUCUUCGGACCAUGCGCGAUUGAAUGAGCCGAUGUCGGAUUAGCUAGUUGGCGGGGUAAAGGCCCACCAAGGCGACGAUCCGUAGCUGGUCUGAGAGGAUGAUCAGCCACACUGGAACUGAGACACGGUCCAGACUCCUACGGGAGGCGGCAGUGGGGAAUAUUGGACAAUGGGCGCAAGCCUGAUCCAGCCAUACCGCGUGGGUGAAGAAGGCCUUCGGGUUGUAAAGCCCUUUUGUUGGGAAAGAAAAGCAGCAGGUUAAUACCCCGCUGUUCUGACGGUACCCAAAGAAUAAGCACCGGCUAACUUCGUG